rnacentral:rRNA from 1 species
UUUGUUGCGCCUCCCCCAAUCCCCACAACCGCAAUUCCCACAGCCGCAUGCCCACAUCCCUCCCUCCUCCCUCGUCUCAGCCGCCACCCCACGAACCCUAGCCGCGCCCUACUACAUCUGUCCUCCUUCCCCCCUCCCUGGUCCGCCCCAAGCCCCUCCUCCUCCGCCCUCACAUGCUCCACCCUGAGCACACCGGCAGCGAAGUGCACCGCGAGGCCCCGAAGCAACUCAGCCAAAGCCCCUCCGUACAGGAGGAACCCCGCGGCCAGCGCAGCCAACAACGACACGUACAAGAGGUCGGCCUUGAUGGGUUGCGCGCCGUACGCGAGGGUCAUGUCCACACUGGAGGGCAGCAACGUGCACAUGGCGCGGUACGUGGAGGUGCGCAGGGAGAAGGUGCACGGCUCCGCCUAG